rnacentral:rRNA from 1 species
GGCGUUGGUUGUACGCUGGCUUCUAGGAGCAUGUGCACACCCGUCAUUCUUAUCUUUCCACCUGUGCACUUAAUGUAGGCCUGGAUAACUCUCGCUCUUUUGAGCGGAUGCAAGGAUUGCUGUGUUGUAAGACCAGCUCUCUUUGAAUUUCCAGGUCUAUGUAUCUUUACAAACCCCAAUUGUAUAAUGAAGAAUGUAGUCAAUGGGCUUUUAGCCUAUAAAACAAAAUACAACUUUCAGCAACGGAUCUCUUGGCUCUCGCAUCGAUGAAGAACGCAGCGAAAUGCGAUAAGUAAUGUGAAUUGCAGAAUUCAGUGAAUCAUCGAAUCUUUGAACGCACCUUGCGCUCCUUGGUAUUCCGAGGAGCAUGCCUGUUUGAGUGUCAUUAAAUUCUCAACUUCAUCGGUUUUGUUAUGAAACUUGUGUGAAGCUUGGAUGUGGGGGUUGUGCAGAACGCUUAACUGCUGACUGCUCCUCUCAAAUGGAUUAGCGAGUUCAAACUGAGCUCCGUCUAUUGGUGUGAUAAUUAUCUACGCCGUGGAUGGAACUUAGACUUGCUUCUAACCGUCUGCAAAGACAAUUUUUGACAAUUUGACCU